CUGUUGCCUUGGCAACAGGUCUGCAGGUUCCACCUAUGUGAUGUUACUGGUUUCCGAGGUCCUGAUACCAACACUAGGAAUGCUAUAUGCAAGAUGAAGGAAGAAAAAUGGAAGAGCUAAAUUCUGGAAAUGGAAAGGUUACAGUAGAAAUCAGAGGAUCUUGAAGCCACUGAUCACAUGUGGUCGUAAAUGAGAAGAAGAGAGCUACAACUGAGCAUGCC
rnacentral:lncRNA from 1 species